UACGUAGGGUGCAAGCGUUAAUCGGAAUUACUGGGCGUAAAGCGUGCGCAGGCGGUGAUGUAAGACAGGUGUGAAAUCCCCGGGCUUAACCUGGGAACUGCAUUUGUGACUGCAUCGCUGGAGUGCGGCAGGGGGGGAUGGAAUUCCGCGUGUAGCAGUGAAAUGCGUAGAUAUGUGGAGGAACACCGAUGGCGAAGGCAGCCCCCUGGGUCAAGACUGACGCUCAUGCACGAAAGCGUGGGGAGCAAACAGG
rnacentral:rRNA from 1 species